GAGGAUAUGGCGGAAUUGGUAGACGCAACGGACUUAAAAUCCGUUGCACUAUUAGUGCGUGAGGGUUCAAGUCCCUCUAUCCUCA
rnacentral:tRNA from 1 species